CCUGGAGGAGUCAGGGAGCAGCACCUGCAGAAGGGUGAGCAGAAGAGACAUUGCAGAUUGUGGAGGAAAGGAGUAAAACGGAGACAGAUUUUGGAGUGUCCCUUGGCCCAUGAUGGGUUUCCCAAUUUCAUCUCCUUCAUCUUGUCUACCUGAGGAAGUGGCCACUCUUUCUUCCGAGCUGCUGGACCACCACACACCCUCUUUGCCAGGAGCACUGUCUGCUUGGUGCUGUGGAAAUGGACACUGAUGCUUCAUUUUUCAUGCCACAAACUGA